CGACGUGAGGAACCUGCCUUCCAGAGGGGGACAACAGUUGGAAACGACUGCUAAUACCGCAUGAUACAUUUGAAUCGCAUGGUUUGAAUGUCAAAGAUUUAUCGCUGGAAGAUGGCCUCGCGUCUGAUUAGCUAGUUGGUGAGGUAACGGCCCACCAAGGCGACGAUCAGUAGCCGGACUGAGAGGUUGGCCGGCCACAUUGGGACUGAGAUACGGCCCAGACUCCUACGGAAGGCAGCAG
rnacentral:rRNA from 1 species